CGAAUACGGACGAGCUCCGUCCCCACGGAGGAUACAGCUCCGGCGUCGCUCUGUCGCCAUACGGGCGGGGGAGCGUCGCCCAAAAGCAGCGGCAGCCUGAGUUCGAGAGUAAGCGGGGCCCACGUCGGACCGCAGGUGGUGAUGCUGGUCACUAAUGACACCGCAUUGGCCAGGCACAGCGAGCCUCAGCACUUUGGUUAACCCAAAUAUUCCAGCUGCUGUGACCAAUCCUGCCUCUUGAAAUGAACAGGCAAAACCGAUUACGCUGAAUAAGUGAUAAAGAAAAAAGUCCUUAUCUAAGUGAAAAUGGGAUGCCACUUUACCUUAGUGAAACUUACUCUUCUAUAGAAAAAAAAUGAGUCUGAAACGUAAGAGAGCUUACGGCAAUCAAACUAUGAACACAUGGCCAGCAGCCCAAAGGUUUGCCAUCAAAUGAGUGAGAUCAAAUUUAGGACAUCAUUGGAAAGCAGGUCUUAGUCAAGACCCAGGGAAAGGACCCAAGCAAAGCAGCUACCAAUUAUCUACCAACUGUGGGAUGGAGGAAUAAAUUAGAGAAGUUUUAUAUUUCUAUCUGAAAACAAAUUGACAGUAAGGAACAGCACGCUUAGCAGAGCCAUAUUCUUCCUCAUUUUCAUGGAGACGCUUUCUCGUUGUGGUUCGCUGGAAGACAAACACAGGAGGAUGGCUCCAGGAAACCAGCAUGCAGCCAAACUAAUCUUGUGCCAUUCAAAAGACCUCAGUGGAGAUUUCAGAGGAAGAAACAGCAAUUAAUUGUUUAUAUGCCUUUAAGAAAUGUUUUAUUAAGUAAAUUAGUAAGUAUUAAGUACAGGUAAGACACUUGCACUGAGCAGUAUUUAGGUUUACACAGCUCAACAAGUUUUCAAGUUGUAGAUUUAAGAAAAGAAUGGAGUAAACAACUUGUUUUGAAAACACUAAUUUGAAAGCACUACUAGUUUAAAUAAAUCUGCAGAACAUGCUUACUUCUAGUAUCUGAAAUAUUCCCUAGUGUCCCCAAAAUCAUCAGAGGGCUAACUGGCAUCAGCUGGUCACAGAGAGAAUGUGUUUUUCACUGUUGACUUGUGAAGACGAUACUUCCAGACAACACAAGAGGGAGAGAGGAGCCAGUAACUCCUCAUUACUCACAGAAACAGGACUCAGGAGCUCUUUUGGUGGCAUUCAACAUGUGUGAUACCUAGAACUGAGCAAGCUGGCCUUCCAAGCAGGCAGUCUACCUCAUCUAAAAACACCUGACACUCUUAAUAACAGCCCCUGAAGGAAAACAGUUCAAAGAACAGCAGCUGAAUGCUAGAUUUCAAAAGCUACACAAAUCUGGAUUUAUGGUAUGAUGUUUUCUGGAACCUUCUGUUCUGUCUUCAAAAUUCAACUUAAUAGUAAGAGAUGUCCUUACAUGGAAUAUACAAUCAAGUUAAUAACAACUUGAGUUUAUAUACUGAAAUAUUUUAAAUUCUUAGCUUGUCUAAAUCAGUCAUCUAUUUCCCCUUCCCAUUUAUGCAUACCAGCCAUUUUUAAAAUCAUGGUUGCAUGGUUGCAUGGUUUCUGAAGAACUUUUUCUGCUCAGAUUUAUAAUUUAAAUGUAGGAAUCUAUAUCUGAUUAACUCACUGUAGAUGUUACAUGCAAAACUACAGUAAGUAAAAUCCAUGAAUGCCAGGAAAUGUUUCCUGAUGCCCAGGAGCAUAAUCAAGACAAGUUAAUCACUUUAAAAAGAGUCAUCCACACAUGUUUUUUGUCUCAGAACACCAUCAGCUGUUGAGCACUGAGGGAUACUCCCUUGCUUCCCCCAUUUCUUAUGCUCUUUACCUGUUCCCAGUCCCAGGGGAGGAACAGGAAUAGCAUUGUGCUUGGUGUAAAAAAACAGAACCUGUUGCAUGGCUCAGAUGUAGGCUGGGUAACAUUCUUCAGCCUCUUCAAGCAAAAAUAUUCAAGAGAGCUCAUAGGUUCAGUGGACACCUCUGCCAAAAGUAAGAAAAGACCACCUAAAGACUAUCCCUCUCAAAUCUAAUUAGACUGUAACAGGAGGCAGGGAAACCAUCACUUCCUACUCAGAGGGUUCCCAAACCAGGGACACUUAUUCCUACACAGCAGAGUAAAAACAAAGUAGUAUUGGAUGCUUGCCAGAAACAAACUCUGCACUGCCUGCCCACACAAACAUCUGAGGAAAUGGGGCUCUGUUACAAUGCCUGAAAGGAGAGGUCCAUCCUACCAGAACCACAGUCAGGCUUAGGCUCUAAAAAACACAUCUUGAUCCUCACAUGUGAAAGGGUUUUGGGAAGAGGUGUCUCAGAAAGGAUGCAGAAGCUGCUUAUUGUACUGAAAGAAGGUAUUCAGGAGACUACUCCAUGCUGCUUUUGCAGUCUCUCUACAGGGGCUAAAUCUUUGAAAACACAAGACAUCAAUAAGUUACCCCCCUGAACAACUCAGCUUUCAGUUAAAAUUCAA